UUAAAAGACAGAACAGGGGAAAACAUCCAAGGUGCAGCUCCAGAGCCGUCUGUCUCAAUACUUCAUCAGACAGAAGAUGGGGUGCUGUUACAGUGUGUUGUUAGACAUGCUUCUCCAAAACCUAAAGUAGAGUGGAAGGACAGUUCUGGAAACAAACUUCCUGCUGAAGAACCACAGGUCACAGACAGAGGAGGCAGCUAUGACAUCAUCCUCCAAACUACUGUGACCAAGACUGACUACUAUCACUGUGUGGUCACACAGGAGGAAAUCAACCAUCAGACUGAGGCGAAGACGUUUGUGCCUCUCAGUGGUGCAGCUUCAGAGCCAUCUGUCACGAUACUGGAUGAAACAGAUGAUGGGAUGUUGCUGCAGUGUGUUGUUCGAGGUGCUUCUCCAAAACCUAAAGUAGAGUGGAAGGACACUUCUGGAAACAAACUUCCUGCUGAUGAACCACAGGUCACAGACAGAGGAGGCAGCUAUGACAUCAUCCUCCAAACUACUGUGACCAAGACUGACCGCUACCAGUGUGUGGUCACACAGGAGGAAAUCAACCAUCAGACUGAAGCAAAGAUUUAUGUGUCUG